rnacentral:lncRNA from 10 species
AGAAGUCAGCCCUGUGGCAGGAGGCAGAAGCUGGGAUGGGUGCCCACAAAGGAAGCCUUAUUUUCCAAGGCAGCCAGAGAAUCAUGGGUCUGAACUUAUCCCGUCUUCUCAGAUGGAGGACUAAGACCCAGAAAGAGGGAGGAAUUUGUCCAAGCUCUCCCAGUGAGCUGAUGCCAGAGCCAGGACUAGAACUCAGGUCUCCCAAUUCUCAGCACAGUGUGAUUUUCCUUGCAGAAUGUUGAUGCUCAAAGAACAGGAACCCCAGAACCCCAGGGAGGUAAGGAAGAAGAGCACAGCCAGGAUCAGAAGAGUGAAGAAACAAUGAUGUCCCACAGGUCACAGGGAGUAAGUAGCUGCUCUAGGGGUGAACCCAAGAGUGGUGAUUCACUGUCCAAACUACUGGCUGGAGGAGAGCUCGUGGUGGUCAUGUGUUUGUCAACCUGUUCCAGCUCUUCCCAACUAUGGCAGUGGCUAUGGCCUAACAGCUGGAGGCAGGAACAGGGCAGUGACAAGAAUCAGCAACUGCAUAGGGGCCUCAUCAAUUUCCAGUCCUCCAUCCAGAAGAGGACAGGACAUGCUCAAGCUGCCCCAAAGAGAAAGGACAAAGGAGAGGAAUUCUGAGAUGCAAGUCCCUAUGGAAGAGGGGACAGAGUUAAAUUCCAGCAGUCCAACAGACUAUGGCUAGAGCCAUAGUCUUCUCUUACCUGUAUCUUUAACGUUCAGCUUACUAUUGGUUCCUUAUUAUCUCCUGUUAGUGAGGUUCCUUUCAAAAACAAUAAAACAAAACAAUAUUUUCCCGC